CUGCACACAGAUUGUGCUGGUGUCGCAGAGCAAUCCAUCAGAGAUCCCUACUGGUGUGGUUGCAAGAGACCUUUGCCUUUGAACUUUGAUGGGACACUAAGAGUUCUGCAGCAGGAUGGAGUGCAGGGUCUCAUUGGUGACGAUGAGCUCCAGAAAAUACAUCAAGCACUGGUGUCUGAUGAAAUUAAGUCGAGCCGGAUGUAUCUUUGGAGAAAUCCCGGAACCUCAUUGAAACUGAAGCAGCUUUUAAGACCAAAGCGUUUCCUUUUCAAUGAAGAA